GUCUUUGCUCACUCUGCAGGGUUUCUGCUCUUGUGGGAUUUUCAGGCUGUACUCUGUUGACUUUCUUCCUGAAUGUGUUCAGUGGUUUUCAGGUAAAGGACAUGUCCACAGCUUCUCCUCAGUAGACUGCAUUUGAUCAUGGAGCAGCAGCCAUGGCCGAGUAGAGAGGGUAGAGAGCCUUUUGUCCAGAGAGAAAAACAGGAGGAACUAAAGUCCAAGAGGAGC
rnacentral:lncRNA from 1 species